GGGGAUGUAGCUUAGUGGUAAGUGCUUGCCUAGCACAUGCAAGACCUUGGGUUUGAUCCCCAACACAACCA
rnacentral:tRNA from 1 species